rnacentral:lncRNA from 10 species
GUUCAAUAGAUACAUACUGAGUGUUAACUUUGUGCCAAACAUUGGACUGUGCACCAGGGAUACCCAAGAGAGUCCAAGAGGCACAGCCCUGUCUUCCUGGAGCUCCCAGUCGAAGGGUAGACAGAAUUCUGCCCGACACACACACACUCAAGGCUUCAUCAGGGAUAAAGGCCAGGAACCGGCUUUGCCCCAGGAGAAGGUAGGAGGAGGGCUGUGCUGAUGAUGGAGGGUCCAGAGAACCUUCCUGCUGUUGAGCCUCCAGAUGUCCCAAGGCAAUCCUGUUUCCACCCAAGGGCAGUGCUUAAGGGUCCUCUCUCCUGAGAGCUUGUUUCCCUUUUGAGUGGCUGCCUAGCCUGAGUGUCAGUAGGGCAAGAUUGGCCCUCACCCACUAGCCUGUAGAACUCCAAACACUACCCCCUCCCUUCUUCUAAUGCAGAUUCCCCUGCAGGCUCUGGGGUCUGACAGGUCUGGGGCACUCCUUUAGGUGCCACUCAGGGAAACAGAAGGGGAGGGCCUCAGUAGCUCCCACUUCUUUUCCAGCCCACAUUUGGAAGCAACCGGCACCCACGCAGGUUCUGGAACUUGCCAAGGUUCCAGGGGUUGAGCCCACUCCAUCCUGUCCAAAGGCAGAAGCCUCCUCCAAGUCCUGCACGAUCCGCCCUCUAACAUGCAAGCCCAUCUGGAACCUCUGGAAUCCUACUGGGCUUCUUCGCUCCCUAAAGUUUACAGACCCAGGGCAAAAUAGGGAACUGCAAAUCCAAGUGGCCCAGAGGUCUCUCCACCCCCACUCUGCCCUCUCUGGGCCUGAGCCUGACAGGAGAUUCCCAGCACAUCUGGUUGUACUUAAAUCAUCCAGCACUACUGGAGUAGGUUCCCUGCUUCUCUCCCUUCAGCCCCAGCCUCCUCCCCUUCCUACACCAGCCUUCCAGGUCUCUCCUCCAGGAUGCCUUCCCUAACUCAUCCAGCCUCGGUAUCUGCACCCCACCCUUGAACCUCCACCUCUUUGGGUCUGGAGUCUGCCAGGGUGUGGAAGGGAGGGUGUGUGCUCCGCAAGACUCAGUGUGUAGAAUCUCAUCCUUCCCGAGCAUUGGUCCUAGAUAGAAACCUUCCCUUCAGGUAAGGAAGGGAGCCAGCCAAGAGCCUCCCCUCUGCUCCCUUGGCCUCAGGGGUGGCUGUCUCCAGUUAUGGGUGUGUACAGUGGGGAGGAACAAGUUCAGAUCCAGGCAGAGCCAUUCCUUUGGCAACUCUUGCUGUCAGCCAUCUUCCAAAGAGCUUUGCAAAAUGUUAAAGAACAAAAGAGAAAUAAAUACAGAGAAUAUAGCAAGUAUAAAAAUGCACAGUCUAGGCCAGGCACGGUGGCUCACACCUGUAAUCCUAGCACUUUGGGAGGCUGAGGCAGAUGGAUCACUUGAGGUCAGGAAUUUGAAACCAGCCUGGCCAAGAUGGUGAAACCCCAUCUCUACUAAAAAUACAAAAAUUAGCCAGGUGUGGUGGCGGGCACCUGUAGUCCCAGCUAUUUGGGAGGCUGAGGCAGAAGAAUUACUUGAACCCCGGAAGUGGAGGUUGUAGUGAGCCAAGAUCACACCACUGCACCCCAGCCUGGCUGACAAAGCAAGAUUCUGUCUCAAAAAAAAAAAAAAAAAAAAAAAAGAAUGCACGGACUCUAAAGAACAAGUUUGUAACCUACCAUGACCUGCUCCACCAGGGCUCCAGGUUUGAAUGUUCAUUCAUUCUUUUAUUCAAUAGCAUGUACUGAUGCCUGAGUCUACUAAGUUCUAGGAACAGUGACUCAAGUAAGAUCCCAGGGUCAGUGGGGGACAGGAACAGGUGGAUGAACAAAUGCUGCAUGCUGUAAUGGACAUGAGUCAGGGAGACAGAGGGGUGCCAAGGUUGAAGGUCAGAGACCCUGGACUGAAUCCCACCUCUGUCACUUUCUGCACUGUCUCUGGGGAGCCACUUAAUCUUGGGGAGCCUGUCUCCCCACCUGGAAAAGGACGAUGAUGUGACCUCACAGGGUCGUAGUGGGACUCAAAUAAGAUAAUGUGUGUGAAAACGCCUUGCAAAGUGCUAAGUGAGUUGUUGCUAUUAUGAUUAGGCUCAGGGGCUGCCUAUCUGACACUCAUUUUUCUAAUGCCUCAACAGCUGUCUCUCUUACCCUCCCAGGGCAGGUACCACGUUGGAGAAACUUCUGAGGGUGAAGGACACCCACCCUAGAGUAGUGGGCAGUUAAGCUGCCCGCAUAGACACACACACACACACUUUAGUUACACAAGCAGAACACCUUUUUAUAAAAAUUCGAAAGGCAUCAUGUGCCUACAGCCUCAGUUACUCAGGAGGCCGAGGCAAGAGGAUUGCAUGAGUCCUGGGCAACAGAGUGAAACCCAUUUCUACUAUUUAAAAAACACUAAUAAGAAAAAAUAGAUAAGCAGAAAACAAAAAAAUUAAAAAUCCAACGCCUUUAAUCCCACCACCCAGAGAUAACCACCAGUAAUAUGUUGGAGUCAGUUAGCCGGUCACAGUGGUGGGGGGCCUGUGGUCCCAGCUACUCGGGAGACUAAGGUGGGAGGAUUGCUUGAGCCAGGGAGAUUGAGGCUGCAGUGAGCCGUGAUUGCGCCAAUGCACUCCACCCUGGGCAACAAAGCAAGACCCCAUUUCAAAACAAAACAAACAAAAAACCAUUUUGGAGUCAGCUAGAUAUUAUUCUAUUUAUCUCUCUCUACACACACACACACACACACACACACACACACACACACACACACACACAUAUGUAUAUAUAGAGAGAUCUCCACAGUGUUUUAUAAUAUACUUUUCUUAAUAGACAAUUUUUUUUUUUGAGAGGGAGUCUUGCUCUGUUGCCCAGGCUGGAGUGCAGUGGUGUGAUCGCGGCUCACUGCAACCUCCACCUCCCAGGUUCAAGCAAUUCUCCUGCCUCAGCCUCCUAAGUAGCUGGGAUUACAGGCAUGUGCCACCACAGCUGGCUGAUUUUGGCAUUUUUAGUAGAGACGGGUUUCACCAUGUUGACCAGUCUGGUCUCAAACUCCUGACCUCAAGUGAUCCACCUGCCUUGGCCUCCCAAAGUGCUGGGAUUACAGGCGUGAGCCACCGCACCCAGACAAUGGACAAAUAUUUUGAACAUCUUUUGCUGUCUAUAAUACGUUUAUACCACACAAUUGUUAAUGACAGCUUAAUAUUCCAUCAAGUGGACAUGUCUAAAUUAAUUUAAAAAGUUUCCUGGCCAGGUGCGGUGGCUCUUGCCUGUAAUCCCAGCACUUUGGGAGGCCAAGGCGGGCGGAUCAUGAGGUCAGGAGUUUGAGACCAGCCUGGCCAACAUGAUGAAACCCCAUCUCUACUCAAAAUACAAAAGUUAGGUGGGCAUGGUGGCGCACUCCUGUAGUCCCAGCUACUAGGCAGGCUGAGGCAGGAGAAUAGCUUGAACCUGGGAGGCAGAGGUAGCAGUGAGCCAAGAUCUCACCUCUGCAUUCAAGCCUGGGCAACAGAGUAAGACUCUUCUGGAAAAAAAAAAAAAAGUUUCCUUUGUUGUUGAUUUUUUUCCAGAAAUAAAAGCUUCAUGAACAAACCUGUAACUUCCACCUUUGUGCACGCGUCUAAUUAUUGCCUUAGGAUAAAGUUCUGGUAACCAGAGGCUAGGAAUGCAUAUUUUUAUCUCUGAGGAGCCAGGAGCCCAGGCCUCUGGGCAGUGCUCUCACCUCUCCUCCAGGCAGCCCUCCCAGACCUCCAGGGUUGAGUACAUCUCCCAUGGUCCUUUCCUCUCCAAGUAACUUCAUC